rnacentral:tRNA from 1 species
UCCCUGGUGGCCUAGUGGUUAAAGGUUCAUCAUUGCCACUGCUGCGGUUUGUUGUUACAGCUGUGGCUCAAGUUCAAUCCCUGGCCUGGGAA